UGCCACUCUGCUCUUGCCGGCUGACUC
rnacentral:piRNA from 1 species